GGGAUUGCCUUAGUAACGGCGAGUGAAGCGGCAACAGCUCAAAUUUGAAAUCUGGCCCCUUCGGGGUCCGAGUUGUAAUUUGCAGAGAGUGUUUCGGGUGAGGACACGGUCUAAGUCCAUUGGAACAUGGCGUCAUAGAGGGUGAGAAUCCCGUAUGUGACCGUGGAUCGAGCCCAUGUGAAGCCUCUUCGACGAGUCGAGUUGUUUGGGAAUGCAGCUCAAAAUGGGUGGUAAAUUUCAUCUAAAGCUAAAUACUGGCUGGAGACCGAUAGCGCACAAGUAGAGUGAUCGAAAGAUGAAAAGCACUUUGGAAAGAGAGUGAAACAGUACGUGAAAUUGUUGAAAGGGAAGCGCUUGCAACCAGACCUGCCCGUAGGCGAUCAGCCGCUGUUCUCAGUGGUGCACUCGCUCUGCGAUCAGGCCAGCAUCGGUUUCGGCGGUCGGAUAAAGGCCCUGGGAAUGUAGCUUCCUUUCGGGGGAGUCUUAUAGCCCUCGGUGCAAUGCGGCCAGCCGGGACCGAGGACCGCGCUUCGGCUAGGAUGCUGGCGUAAUGGUUGCAAGCGACCCGUCUUGAAACACGGACCAAGGAGUCUAACAUCUAUGCGAGUGUUUGGGUGUUAAACCCAUGCGCGGAAUGAAAGUGAACGGAGGUGAGAACCCUGAAGGGCGCAUCAUCGACCGAUCCAGAUGUCUUCGGAUGGAUUUGAGUAUGAGCAUAGCUGUUGGGACCCGAAAGGUACGUUGAAACUCCCCGUUCCUCUUGCAUCAAAAUCGUAUGCUAACUUGUCCGAUAGAUGGUGAACUAUGCCUGAAUAGGGUGAAGCCAGAGGAAACUCUGGUGGAGGCUCGCAGCGGUUCUGACGUGCAAAUCGAUCGUCAAAUUUGGGCAUAGGUAGGCGUUUCCGAGUUUUCGAACUACCUAGAUUUAAUGCUAACUCUUUAAUAGGGGCGAAAGACUAAUC
rnacentral:rRNA from 1 species